rnacentral:rRNA from 1 species
UACGUAGGUGGCGAGCGUUGUCCGGAUUUACUGGGUGUAAAGGGCGUGUAGGCGGGCGUUUAAGUCAGAUGUGAAAUGCCGCAGCUCAACUGCGGAACUGCAUUUGAAACUGAAAGUCUUGAGUGUCGGAGAGGAGAGCAGAAUUCCUAGUGUCACGGUGAAAUGCGUAGAUAUUAGGAAGAACACCGGUGGCGAAGGCGCUUUUCUAGUUUAGACCUGACGCUGAGGAGCUAAAGCGAGGCGAAGAAACUGG